GAGAGAAAGGGAGAACGAGAGAAAGGGAGAACGAGAGAGGGAAAGGGAGAACGAGAGAGGGAAAGGCGAGAGGAGAAAGAGGGAAAGGGGGAGAGAGAGAAAGAGAGCGAGGGCGAGAGAAAGUAGAGAGAGGAGAGGGAAAGGGGGAGAGAGAGAAAAGAGCGGGAGAGAGGGGAUGGGGAGAGGGGAAGAAGAUCGAGGGGAAGGGAGAGAGCGAGAGAAAGGGAAAGAGGGAAAGGGAGAGAGAAGGAGUGAGAAAAAAGUGAGAGAGGAAAAGGAGAGAUCGAGGGAAAGGGGGAGAGAGGGAGACCGAGAGAGGGAG
rnacentral:lncRNA from 1 species